UACGAACACUCUUGGUAGGACAUCGAUUCAAGAGGUACGUUGCUGUUGCUAUAGCUUCAGCCCAAAAUGCUCGAGAUCCAGUAUGACGAAAAGAGGCCGACCUUCAAAAGCCAACCAACCCAGGCCGCAGCGAAGCUGCCUAGAUUGGACAUUGACGAAGCGGUCGAUGAUGUUAUUCCAAUUGCGAUUGCGCAAAAGUUCCGGGAGAGAUUGGCUAAGCCAAGGGCCGAGACGAGUACCGUUUAUGAAGAGGCAGAGCAAAGGAAACCGAGGGGGAAGAAAGUCGAACAUCUCUAUUGUCGACGGACCCCAACCGAGUUUUUGAACUGGUUAAAAAGCCUAACUCCACGGCAGAAGGAAGCCGUUCGAGAACUGGGUUUCAGAGCUAUCAUCCAUUUCAAUAUAAAGAAAAUUCUAGGAUAUCUAGCCUAUUGGGUUCUAAACACAUUUAAUCUAGCUCGGUGCCAGAUUCCAUUAUCGGGUGGUGAGAGCCAAACCCUGGAUGAGGAGGACGUGCAUCUGACGUUAGGCUUUCCAAGAGGUCCAACACCCAUUUCACGCCCAAUCGACAAACAAAGCAACUUCGAGUUCAAUGACUAUGCUGCAGCACGGUGUCAUAAGGGAUGGUUCAAAAUGACCCUAAAGAUAUUGCGCAGAUGAUGAUGCAGGACGUUGAUGGGGGGCCAGAUUUCAAGAAACUCUUCAUGUUCAUGCUUGAAAAUGCCGUUAUAGAGACUCCGGCCGACGACAAUUGCAAGCCAAAGAUUCUGCAUUUCAUCGACGAUGUUGAUGAGACUAGGAACUUGAAUUGGUGCGGUUACGUCUUAUUCGUUCUUGAGGUCACGUAUCCUAGUUGGGCAAACAGUC